GGUUCUAUGGCGCAAUUGGUUAGCGCGUCCGGCUGUUAAUGGUCUUUAUGACCAUUGCACACCGGGAGGUUGAAAGUUCGAGUCUUUCUAGUACCG